GAUGAACGCUGGCGGCGUGCCUAAUACAUGCAAGUCGAGCGAACGGACGAGAAGCUUGCUUCUCUGAUGUUAGCGGCGGACGGGUGAGUAACACGUGGAUAACCUACCUAUAAGACUGGGAUAACUUCGGGAAACCGUAGCUAAUACCGGAUAAUAUUUUGAACCGCAUGGUUCAAAAGUGAAAGACGGUCUUGCUGUCACUUAUAGAUGGAUCUGCGCUGCAUUAGCUAGUUGGUAAGGUAACGGCUUACCAAGGCAACGAUGCAUAGCCGACCUGAGAGGGUGAUCGGCCACACUGGAACUGAGACACGGUCCAGACUCCUACGGGAGGCAGCAGUAGGGAAUCUUCCGCAAUGGGCGAAAGCCUGACGGAGCAACGCCGCGUGAGUGAUGAAGGUCUUCGGAUCGUAAAACUCUGUUAUUAGGGAAGAACAUAUGUGUAAGUAACUGUGCACAUCUUGACGGUACCUAAUCAGAAAGCCACGGCUAACUACGUG
rnacentral:rRNA from 1 species